UACCCCUUCCUCUUCUUCUCUUUCUCUCACUUUCUUUUCCUCUUUUAUUCCUUGUACCUUCUAUAACAAAGAAUUUUGGGGAAAAGUUCUAAAAAGAGAGAAAUUCUUUAUUUUUAGAGCCAGAUUUUUUUUUUUUUUUUUUGCCAAAGAUCUAUUUGCAGCUGAAAAAACUAGUGAAAUAAAUAGGCCAAAGGCCUCUUUCUUAUUCAGACAAAAUGUCCAUGGAAAGUACUAAAAAGGUUAAAUCUCAUGGUGACCUUAGAGGUUAUAUUCUUGGAAAAAGAAGAUUGGAGUUGGUUUUCUACCCCUGCCUUGACCAGGCCUCCUUCCAGCACUCUGACACAGACCCUCCAGUUGAGGAGCCCUUUCCCUCAAUCAAAGGAAACAGAGUGGAAUUCAAGAGAAGGGCCGCCCAACUCACAGCUCUAUGUCAAUCUGAUAAAUAUCAGCUCUACAUUCUCUUCCAAGGCAUUGAUCAACAUACUGCAUGGGAUGAACACCUGUGGCCAUUGGAUUAGAGCCCUCAGUUCAAUCCCUAUCUAUUUAUUGGAAAGGCAAUAGAGGGUAGUGUAUUUAAACACACGAAUCCUAACUUUUUUAUUUACAUGUUUUUGGUCUUCAAGAAUAUGACUCAACCUCCCCAAGCCUCCAUUUAUCUAUCUAUAAAGGUGGGAGUAACAACGGCACCCAUCUGGCAAGGUGGUGUAUUUAAAAGGCUUAGUGCAGUACCUGGCUCAGGCAGUUUGCAGUCAUCGGUAGCAAUUAUUAAUAAUUCAGUUAGCUGUGAAGCCAGCUCAUCAAAUUAUCAUCUAGCCCACGCUUUCUACAAGGAAAAACACACAUCUGUUUAUCAAAUGCUCCUGUAGGACUUAAAGUGCAUGCUGUCUGGAAUAUUUUAUUGAUGUAUCAAAAAUAAACUAUUUAAAGAGGAAAUAAAGUUAUCCCAGGGUGACUUGAACUUCUACACACUCCCAGCUGUCUCUGGCUGAACUCUUUUUCCUAAAUGUUCAUAAAAUGUAUAUAAUAAUCAAAUUCUGAAUGCUAGAUGCAUUGCCUUCUAGUUUUUAGAAUCCACAUUUUUCUCAUUUUUGAAAACUGGAAUAACAUAUUCCUGUCUCCAAUUCCCUGGCCUUGCUCCCAGUCUCUGAUUUAUCUAAGAUUGCUGACAGUGGUUUUGUAAUCACAUCUGCAAGUUCUUUCUGUAUUCUAGAAUGUAAUCCAACUUGAACUCAUUAAAUAUCUAGUUCCCCUUUUAUUAUCUCUUGUGCUAUCUUGAGCUUUAAUUCUCUCUUUAAAAACAUUUUUUAUAAAAAUAUGUAUAUAUAUAAAAGUAAUACCUAUUCAUGGCUAAAAAUUUCAGAUAUAUGGUUAAACAAAAUGAAGAGGUCGAAAAUCAUCAGUAGUCGUAGCUUGCUGAGAUAACAGUGCUUCCUGAUUUGAGAUAAAGGCUUCAAGUAUUUUUCUUUGUAGAUAUAGAUACACAGGCUGUUGCAUAAAUAAAGCAUGAACAUAUUUCCAUAUAAUUAGUUCUUUUUUUCUAUAACCAUAUUUUUAAUGUUAGCAUACAAUUUCAGUGUAGUAAUGUGAGAUAAUUUUUACUGAGCUCAGCCCUUUGGUUGAGCAUUUUGGCUUUUUGGCUAUGAGCUGUAUUAUUAGUGUUACAGUCACUACUUUGAUAAAAGAAGUAGGCAUUCAGUAAAUAGUUGUUGAUAUUCUUAAGUAAGGAGGCUCCAGGGACAUGAGAAUGUAGACUUCACAAGCAGAGACUCUGUGCCCUGAUGCCUCUUGUUCUCAUGCUAGAUGGCUGACCUCAGACAAGUCACUCCACUCUUCAGGGACACAGUUUUCCUUUUGAGAAUUCUCUCCUGUUAAGGGGUGGAGGUGACAGACAGUGGCCUCCAGAAUGGGCUCUUGUAAAAGUAAAGUGCAACACUGAAUAUAGAUACCUAUAACACAGUGCUUGGCUCUUAGAAAGGACCCGAUAAAUGAUAGCUGUUGUUACUAAUAUUAUUUUUGUUAUAACAUCUUAUAUGGUUCAAGGUCUAUGUAGUUUUAAAAUAAAGAUGUUGUUAGAAGUCAAUGAGUCCCUUAAUUCAGAGAUUUAUAUUUCAAGCUCAACGCAAAGUACGUGGAAUCUAAUAGCACAUAGUAAAAAAUAUUAAUAUGAAGACUCAUGCAGAGGCACUCAUAUAAUAUGUAUAACUAGCUCUGCUAUAACAAGAUAAAUGCAUUCCUAAAAACCAUCAUGCUAUGCAAAACAGUACAAUAAAUACCACAGUUCUCAUGGGAGAUGGGAUGUGGCAGUGAUUCUCAACCACUCACAAUCCUCCAUGAUUUUCUCCCUCUCCCAGGCUGUAUUUGGCAAUGUCUGUAAUCAUUUUGGGUUGUUACACUGGGGAGUAGCAGAAUCAGGGCUACUGGCAUGUAGCAGGUAGAUGCCAGGCCAGGUGGUUGCCAAAUAUCCUACAGUGCCCGAGACAGCCCCACCCCACUCCCUCAGCAAAGAAUUAUCCAGCCCAAAGUAUCAGCAUUGCUGAGGUUGAGAAACCCUAGGUUUGAGGUCACAAAGCCCAAAAAAAUUGUCAAUGACACAUUAAUAAACAAAACUAACAGGAAUCAACAACAACAAAAAAAGUGGUAGCACAGUUUACCCAUGUUACAUGGUUAAGAGAUGCAUAGAUACAGUAAGUAUUACACUUCUCCUUAUAAAAGACCUGGCAUCUGCCUGUGAAAGUGAAGGUGAGAAGGGUUGCUGCUUUUGAGCUACUGUGAAGUGGUGGGAGGGGGUUAUCCAGAAUCAGAGAGAAAGUUGCAGCACUGGGUGUGGGCUGAGGUGGAUUGCAGAUGGUGGAGGUGUAUGCAUGUUGUGUAUUCCUAUCAGGUGCAGUUCAGCUGAGUGCAGUUUCCUGCAUUAAUCUCGUGUUCCUGGUGGUUGAAAUUGUGUGUAAACAAAUCUAGUUAUGUUCAAAUGGUUCCCUAAUAUAUCAAUGCCAUUGGAACAAAUUCAUGAUUUCAAAAGAAGACUUAUAGCAGAACUAACUUUACAUACUUAAUUGCACUAAAUGGACUUGACUAAAACUAUAAUUUACAGCACCAGUGAUUCUUAAAAGUAUGGCAGACAUUAUUACCAAAGAGACUUUUAACCCAUAGAAAUUACCAAACAGAAAUGUUUUAGGAAAAUGAGUAGGACCGUGUUUACACAAACUCUUUCACAUGCCACUGUCACAAGAUUUUUCCAUGACCUGACAAGUGGCCCAUACUAUUUAUAACAAAGUCUGCUAAAAAUCUUUUAUAAUGCUCAACUAGUUAAGGGUAAAAUUAUAUGAUAUGUAACAUUUGCUUCAAAAAAAUCCAGGUUUGGACAGUAUAUGAGAGGUGCUAACAGGAAACAAGAUGGGCCAUGAGUUGAAUGAAAUUAGGAAAUUAAAACAUGGGGCUUGGUUAUCAUCUUCUUUCUACUUAUGUAUAAUAAAGAUAAAAGGAAGAGUAGUCCACUUAAAAAUCGUGUACAAGCAGUGAAUUUGCAAGCAGGUUCAUAUAAAUACUGAUUUAAAAAUAAAGACGCCAUUUUUGAACAUAGGGUUUGUGUGUCGCCACCAUAAUGAAAUAUCAUGCUAAAAACAUGGGCUGUCCUGCAAGUAUUUAAAUCAUGCUUACUUUCUUCAGGUUCUAAAGGAUGGAAUAUGCUGAGUAGAGCAUGAUGGUUAGCAAAGACAGUUGUCAAAAAGAAAAAAUUAACAUUCAAGUCAUGACUGAGUCAGGAUGUAUGUUGAUUCUCUCCAUGGGAAACUUGACUAAGCAGAGAAUCCUGUAGUUAUGAGCAUGGGUAAGCGUUAGAGCUUGACCUUGCUGGGGAGGCCUGGUUUCAUUAAGUGGCCUUGGGCACUAAUCUAUUCACUAUGAGAAAUUUUGUUUCCCUUCGGGUUUGUAAAAACUGGAUUCUCCUUGUAAUGAAAAAAAGUGCAAUGUAAAGAGACAACAAAAUGUAUGCUUGUGAUAAUAAAGGCAUAAAUUGGAAUAGACUCAUGAAAACUUAGUGAAUUUGAGUCACUCUGUAGAGGAUCUGAUGAAAACUAGAAAUACUCUCUCCAGAAAAAAUAUGUAUGUGAAUUCACAAAAAGUUUGCCUAUGAAUUCACAGACCCCUUAGUAUCCAUUCAGGACACUCGUUUGAGAACUGGAAUUAGAAGCUGUGAUUGGUCCAAUCCAAAAGCCAAAGUUGCAGUGCAGGGGAAACAGGUUACAUGUGCAGCUGUUGCUUCUGAUGUAUUUCUCCAGCCUGAACUAUGUCUUCCACUCUCUGAAUUCUGCUCCAUUCUUUAAAGCCCCCCUGCUUUGGGGAUGCCUUCUUUAGCCUAUGCCAUCUACAGAAGUUUUUCCUCUGAACUCAUAGUAACUUUCAGUGUUGCUAUUUUGGUCCUUAAGCACGCAUUCUCUUUGAAUGCUUAUCUCUGGAUGCCUGCGUGUGUGUGUGUGUGUGUGUGUGUGUGUGUGUGUGUGUGUGUGUGUGUGUGUUGCCUGUCUAACUUGACUGCAAGCAACUUGAGAGCAAGACCAUUUAUCAUACUUCCUGGUGUAUCUCGCCAGUAUCAUGUAGAGAACUAACAGAUGGACAGACAUGUGGUUGUAAAGUAGGUUCCCGUAAGAUAUGAAAUGAAUUGAUGAAUCUUCUACUCCUUUCCUUACUCCUUCCCCGAGCACUUUAAGCUUAUGCUCUCUAUCGCUUUUGUCUGGAGUACCUUUCUCUACCAGAAAUGGGUAGGAAACUCCCAUGGGAGUCCUGGGGAUGAAAGCUAGAGCUCUCAGGGAAGUCCUCUGUCUUCCACUUUCUUCUUCUCUCUGCCUCCGCCCUGCUCCCCGGUUCCAUCCCAUCAGCCUCUGGAAGACCUCUGUCAGGUACCUAUGUGCAGCACAUCACAUGGCAAUGAUUCCCUAUGACACUGCUAGAAUACAUAAGGUGCAUUGAGUAUGGGGUGCACAGAUGAACGGAUUUACCGGCUUAUUUAUUUUAAAUGUGCGUUUGUAGCAUUGUAACCAUAUAUCCUGCUCAUAAUUUCCCAGAGAAUAUUGAUUCACAUGAGUCUAAAUUUAAAAAUGAGAGAAUAGAUUAAAGAAAAAUAGUAAGUAAAUAAUAGUUAACUUGCUGUGGUUUUAUAGCAGAAUUUGUGCAGAUGGGGUGAAUAUUCAUGUUUUUUCAGCACCAGGCUGGCCAUUAACAGGCAGAUGUGUUGUUAACAUACAUGUCUUUAUGUCCUUCUCCCUUCCUAGGAAGCAGCUGGCAGGGACAGGGUAUGAACCAGCCCUGUAACUCCUAGCACUGGUGCUCAUUAAUGAUUGGCUGAAUUGAGUCAUACUCUACUGAAUUUUAAAAUUAUGUCUCAGCAUUAGCUUUGCCCUUCUCAAAGCACUGUUUUGUCUAUUCCCCGGAACAGAGGGAAAGCAGGAAGAUGGAAAGGAAAAUCGCAGCUCUGCGUCUCUUCAACAGAUCUCCAAGUGGUUCAGACAGACCACUACAGAAGCCUAUCCUAAUUAAAUCCCACUGGAUGCCCUUGUUUGGUUAUGUUUCUUACUUAUUUUUCUAUCCAGCUGUAAAGCCUACUUAUGAAUGUGUAAAGAGAUUUCUUUGACUUUAAUACAAUUAGCCAACGACUCUCAGAGCCUCUUUGAGGACAGAUUUCACCCACCCAAGCAUUUGCUAAUGUCAGAGAACAAUGAUGAUUACCUAGCUAAUGGUGGAGGGGCAGGGGUUACCGAAAAAAAGCAAAACAUCAAACUUGUACACAGGGAAACUUAGCCAACUAACACCUGCCAGAAAAGACUAGAGGGUGGGGCUGGAGUGAGCAGGUUCCCCGGGCUUUUCCCUAGGGAGGCUGCUGAAACUUCCCAACUCUGAAGGUCUUUGUGUGAGAGGUGAGGGGUGGGUGUGAGUGAGUGAGUCCUGCCUGGGAGGCGAACAAAGAAAGGAAAAGGGAAAGGCAAGGGUGCUUCCACUUCUCAAGGUAACAUACUUGAAUGACUCCAACAUUGAAAAUCAGCCCUAAUCACUGGUGAUUCAUUUUGAACAAAUCACAAAGGGCCUUUCCCCGCCCCCAGCUCUGUUUCCGUUUUAGGGAUUUCCCAGGCUAAAAGGGCAGCCCAGUUUGAGUCACUGGUUUUAAGAAACCAAGAAAUGAUAAAGUGAAACAGAUCAACUGCACUCCUGAGGGUUGUUAACCCUGUGUUUACAAAAAUUAUUUAAAAAAUCAUUUAUCUACAAUCAAAUCUGAAUUCCUGUAAGUCCAUGUACUAAGGUGUCCCUGCCUUCUUUUUUGCACUGCACCUUUUUUGCACUGCACAAGUUUGAAUAGUCAGAGGCUCCACCUAGAAAAAGUGACAAGUUGAAAUUAUAACCAAUUCUGUCUGUUACUUGUUACUGAGUAUAAUAAAGAUCAGUUGUCCUUUAUGGGGUAUGGUUAGGUGUCUUUAAUAGAGAGAUUUCACUAGCGCAUCAAUGUAAUUUCACCUUUGUUUGACUAAAAAAUUACAACGACCAUUUUUGAGUGCCUAAUAUAACCUAGGCACUUAACAUAUAUCAUUUCCUUUAUUUCUUACAAGAAUCCAAUGAACUAAGUAACACUUCCUUGCUGAAAAACUAAGACCUAGUUAAUAAGUGGCAGAGCCAAGAUAUGAACCUCAAGUUUUACCUGUUGCAAGCUAUGUGUCUUUCCAUUCCCCUUAUUGCAUUUCUAGAAACUUGACAGAAAAGACUAAGGAAAAGCAAGAAGGAGUGGGACUCAGCACAGCCGUCAAGGCAAACAUGGCUUAACACACAUAUCUGUAACAUAUGACUCAUCUUUUGCUAUGAGAUAACUGACAAAACUCAUGUCUGAAUUCACACGUGCCGGUCAGUCUCCAAGAGUCAACUUGGGCAUGAGCCCCAGUGUCCCCUAUGUGUUCCCCAGUCAGACACCCUCCACCCACACUCGCAUCACUGUAUUUAUAUUUAUCAUCUUGUUAAUAGUUGGGAAGAGGGGAAGCAGCCAUUUGUGGGCCAUGUUUUUUCCACAAUUUAAUUCCUAGUAUUUGUGAGCACCAAGAGUGCAAUGCUCAGCAAUCGCUCAUGAGGAUCUGAGGUUCUGAAAAGAAAGUCUCAUCAUCGUGGGUUCUCUUUUGUCAUUUCCAAUUCCAGGAGUUUCUCCUCUCACUGUGAAACAACUGAACAGCCAGAGUCAGCAUGGAUAGAGAGAG